rnacentral:lncRNA from 1 species
GGCACCGCUGGUUGAUGCUAAACAUUGAAAAUCUUCUGACAGUGAUCACAUCUUUUGACAAAAUUGGAAGUAUCAUUUUGCAUCGAAGGCCAAUAAUAACCUUAUCAGAGGAUUUUGUAAGAAAAUACCUUUGCACCUAAAUAAUUUUCAUAAAUUCCCUCGUGGACCUCUUUUAGUGCGUAGUCUGCCUCGGACGGUCGCAAACUCCUCA